rnacentral:SRP_RNA from 1 species
UGUGCUCCGAAGGCAAGCGCGAGCUAUGCACCCGCUUGGGGGGUGGGGACAUCGUGAUGCUGGAGUCACAG